rnacentral:lncRNA from 1 species
GACCCUUAGGAGCUUGUCAUGUGGUUAAAUCAAGAUUCACUUGCACGUUCACUCAUAUAUGCUACUUCUACUCCAGAAGUACCAUCCACAUAUAUCCACCCAUUCCAUCUCCAGAAUCACCUAAAAAUAUUAUACUCCUAAUCCGGGAGAGAAUAACCAAAAAUAUUUCUAUUUUCCCCUUGUGAAAUAAAUGCUCAAGUUAUCUUGUUACUACCACUUGCUAUAUUAUCUCAAGUGAUGAGUGCUCUAAAAAAAAUAUACGAGGAAAUAAAAAGGAGCAAGUGCUCGGAACCUCGAAAGAAAAGAAUAAGUGAGACGAGAGGUAAAAAUGGACAAGUGUCCGACAAUAGAAUUAGGGGUGCAAGAUACCCACCUGAGAGAAAAGAAAAGAAAAAGAAGAGCAUCUCAUUCUCCUCAUAAAAUUUCAAAAAGCAAGGAAGGUAUGUAUCCCCUCAAAAGAGCAAAGUAGAAUUAGACUUUCACCAUUGUUAUCACCAUCAUCACCAUACACCAUUCAUUCGCCACACAUGCACAUCUUGAUUUGACUUAUUGAUUUGUUUCUUUGGAUCCAUGGUUUGACUAUGCAAUAAAUGUCUUGUAAGUAUGUAUAUUUUAUCUCCCACCUAUGAGCUCCAGAUAUUAAAGCCUUAUUAGAGUAGGGUGAGAGAGAAGGCAAUGUCACUAUGCCUCAUACCACAAAUACCACAUAUCUUGAGAGAAGGCAUAUACCAUCACUGCCUUGGUAAGGAUCCAGAAAUACCACAAAAGAGAGACCUGAGAGAAUCAUACAAGGAAUUUCUGAGUUUUAUUUGAAAAUCUGCCAAAACCCCAGAGCUAUAGCUGAUCAAGAAUAAGAGACAUGACACUUGGCUAGACUGUUCUAUCUUUUAACCACUCAAGACAGAAGUGACAGUUACAAGUCCCAUGGUGUAGGUAAAGUAAGUAAGUUUUAAGUCUUGACAGUUUACUCUAACUCAGAGAUGAGAUCUUAUUUAAAAGCAUGUGUACCGUCAAAUUUUUAAAAUAUAAUGCAACAACUUAUGAUCCAUAGCUGAGUCUAUCCUUGCUC